UACGUAGGUGGCAAGCGUUGUCCGGAUUUACUGGGCGUAAAGAGCGCGCAGGCGGUCGGAUAAGUCGAAUGUGAAAGCCCCCGGCUCAACUGGGGAGGGUCAUUCGAUACUGAUCGACUCGAAGGCAGGAGAGGUGAGUGGAAUUCCGAGUGUAGAGGUGAAAUUCGUAGAUAUUCGGAAGAACACCAGUGGCGAAGGCGGCUCACUGGACCGGCAUUGACGCUGAGGUGCGAAAGCGUGGGGAGCAAACAGG
rnacentral:rRNA from 1 species